rnacentral:rRNA from 1 species
GUCUACAGCCAUACCACCUUGAACGUGUCUGGUUCCAUCUGAUCUUGAAAGCUAAGCUGGGGCGGGCCUGGUUAGUAUUCGAAUAAGGAUCACGUGGGAAUAACGGGUGCUGUGGGCU